rnacentral:rRNA from 1 species
GAUCUGACUACCAUGGUGAUCACGCGUAACGGAGAAUAAGGGUUCGGCUCCGGAGAGUUCGCCUGAGAAAUCGCGAACACAUCUAAGGAAGGCAGCAGGCGCGAAAAUUACCCACUCUCAGCACGAGGAGGUAGUGACGAAAAAUAACGAGACCGUUCUCUUAUGAGGCCGGUCAUCGGAAUGGGUACAAUUUAAACCCUUUAACGAGUAUCUAUGAGAGGGCAAGUCUGGUGCCAGCAGCCGCGGUAAUUCCAGCUCUCAAAGUGCAUAGAAUUAUUGCUGCGGUUAAAAAGCUCGUAGUUGGAUCUGUGCCAUAGGACGUGGUCCACCUUCGGGUGCGUACUACGCUCCUAGGCUUUUUGCUGGUUUUCCCGUCGUAGCCUUCACUGGUUGCGGCGGGUGGCUGGCGAGUUUACUUUGAGAAAAUCAGAGUGCUCAAUACAGGCGUAUCGCUUGAAUGAUUGUGCAUGGAAUAAUAGAAAAGGAUUUCGGUCCUCUUUUAUUGGUUUUGUGGACUGAGAUAAUGGUUAACAGGGACAAACGGGGGCAUUCGUAUCUCUGCGUGAGAGGUGAAAUUCUUGGACCGUAGAGAGACGCCCUACUGCGAAAGCAUUUGCCAAAUGUCUUCAUUAAUCAAGAACGAAAGUCAGAGGUUCGAAGGCGAUCAGAUACCGCCCUAGUUCUGACCGUAAACGAUGCCAACUAGCGAUCCGCCGGUGGAUUUUUAGCCCUGGUGGGUAGCUUCCCGGAAACGAAAGUCUUCCGGUUCCGGGGGAAGUAUGGUUGCAAAGCUGAAACUUAAAGGAAUUGACGGAAGGGCACCACCAGGAGUGGAGCCUGCGGCUUAAUUUGACACAACACGGGGAAACUCACCCGGCCCGGACACCGUAAGGAUUGACAGAUUGAUAGCUCUUUCAUGAUUCGGUGGUUGGUGGUGCAUGGCCGUUCUUAGUUCGUGGAUCGAUUUGUCUGGUUUAUUCCGAUAACGAGCGAGACUCUAGCCUACUAAAUAGUAACGAGAUUAUCAAUGUCUCAGUUGCUUCUUAGAGGGAUUUUCGGUGUUUAGCCGCACGAGAUUGAGCAAUAACAGGUCUGUGAUCCCCUUAGAUGUCCGGGGCUGCACGCGCGCUACACUGGCGAAAUCAGCGUGCUGUAUCCAUUCUCGAAAGGGAUUGGUAAACCCAUGAAAAUUUGCCGUGCUUGGGAUCGGAAAUUGCAAUUAUUUUCCGUGAACGAGGAAUUCCAAGUAAGUGCGAGUCAUCAACUCGCUCUGAUUACGUCCCUGCCCUUUGUACACACCGCCCGUCGCUGCCCGGGACUGAGCCAUUUCGAGAAGAUCAGGGACUGGUGGACUGUGGCCUCUUCGGAGGUCCGGUUCGCUGGAAACUGAUUUGAUCGCAGUGGCUUGAACCGGGCAAAAGUCGUAACAAGGUA